GACAGAGGUUGCAAACGUUGUUCGGAAUCACUGGGCAUAAAGCGCACGUAGGCGGUCUGUUAAGUCAGGUGUGAAAGCCCCCGGCUCAACCCGGGGAACAGCAUCUGAUACUGGCAGACUCGAGGAUGGUAGGGGGUGAGUGGGAACUCCAGGUGGAGCGGUGAAAUGCGUAGAUAUCUGGAGGAACACCGGUGGCGAAAGCGGCUCACUGGACCAUAACUGACGCUGAGGUGCGAAAGCUAGGGUAGCAAACGGGG
rnacentral:rRNA from 1 species